UACAGGGGGUGCAAGCGUUGCUCGGAAUCACUGGGCGUAAAGCGUGCGCAGGCGGUUCUGAAAGUCAGCUGUGAAAGCCCCGGGCUUAACCUGGGAAUUGCGGUUGAAACUACAGGGCUAGAAUCUGGCAGAGGGGGGUGGAAUUCCACGUGUAGCAGUGAAAUGCGUAGAGAUGUGGAGGAACACCGAUGGCGAAGGCAGCCCCCUGGGCUGAGAUUGACGCUCAGGCACGAAAGCGUGGGGAGCAAACAGG
rnacentral:rRNA from 1 species